GACGAACGCUGGCGGCGUGCUUAACACAUGCAAGUCGAACGGAAAGGCCCUGCUUUUGUGGGGUGCUCGAGUGGCGAACGGGUGAGUAACACGUGAGUAACCUGCCCUUGACUUUGGGAUAACUUCAGGAAACUGGGGCUAAUACCGGAUAGGAGCUCCUGCUGCAGGGUGGGGGUUGGAAAGUUUCGGCGGUUGGGGCUGGACGCGCGGCUUAUCAGCUUGUUGGUGGGGUAGUGGUUUACCAAGGCUUUGACGGGUAGCCGGCCUGAGAGGGUGACCGGCCACAUUGGGCCUGCGAUACGGCCCAGACUCCUACGGGAGGCAGCAGUGGGGAAUAUUGCACAAUGGGCGGACGCCUGAUGCAGCAACGCCGCGUGCGGGAUGACGGCCUUCGGGUUGUAAACCGCUUUCGCCUGUGACGAAGCGUGAGUGACGGUACUGGGUAAAUAAGCACCGGCUAACUACGUG
rnacentral:rRNA from 1 species